CCUACGGGGGGCUGCAGUGAGGAAUAUUGGUCAAUGGGCGAGAGCCUGAACCAGCCAAGUCGCGUGAAGGAUGACGGCCCUACGGGGUGUAAACUUCUUUUGUCAGGGAGCAAGUGGGUCCACGCGUGGGCUUAGCGAGAGGACCUGAAGAAAAAGCAACGGCUAACUCCGGGCAAGCAGCCGCGGUAAUACGGAGGAUGCGAGCGUUAUCCGGAUUUAUUGGGGUUAAAGGGUGCGUAGGCGGAAUAUCAAGUCAGCGGUAAAAAUUCGGGGCUCAACCCCGUCGUGCCGUUGAAACGGCUGUUCUUGAGUGGGCGAGCAGUAUGCGGCAUGCGUGGUGUAGCGGUGCAAUGCAUAGCUCUCACGCAGCACUCCGAUUGCGCAGGCAGCAUCCCGGCGCCCACCUGACGCUGAUGCACGAAAGCGUGGGUAUCGAACCGGAUUAGAUACCCCAGUAGUC
rnacentral:rRNA from 1 species